rnacentral:rRNA from 1 species
AUGAACGCUAGCUACAGGCUUAACACAUGCAAGUCGAGGGGCAGCAUGGUCUUAGCUUGCUAAGGCCGAUGGCGACCGGCGCACGGGUGAGUAACACGUAUCCAACCUGCCGUCUACUCUUGGACAGCCUUCUGAAAGGAAGAUUAAUACAAGAUGGCAUCAUGAGUCCGCAUGUUCACAUGAUUAAAGGUAUUCCGGUAGACGAUGGGGAUGCGUUCCAUUAGAUAGUAGGCGGGGUAACGGCCCACCUAGUCUUCGAUGGAUAGGGGUUCUGAGAGGAAGGUCCCCCACAUUGGAACUGAGACACGGUCCAAACUCCUACGGGAGGCAGCAGUGAGGAAUAUUGGUCAAUGGGCGAGAGCCUGAACCAGCCAAGUAGCGUGAAGGAUGACUGCCCUAUGGGUUGUAAACUUCUUUUAUAAAGGAAUAAAGUCGGGUAUGGAUACCCGUUUGCAUGUACUUUAUGAAUAAGGAUCGGCUAACUCCGUGCCAGCAGCCGCGGUAAUACGGAGGAUCCGAGCGUUAUCCGGAUUUAUUGGGUUUAAAGGGAGCGUAGAUGGAUGUUUAAGUCAGUUGUGAAAGUUUGCGGCUCAACCGUAAAAUUGCAGUUGAUACUGGAUAUCUUGAGUGCAGUUGAGGCAGGCGGAAUUCGUGGUGUAGCGGUGAAAUGCUUAGAUAUCACGAAGAACUCCGAUUGCGAAGGCAGCCUGCUAAGCUGCAACUGACAUUGAGGCUCGAAAGUGUGGGUAUCAAACAGGAUUAGAUACCCUGGUAGUCCACACGGUAAACGAUGAAUACUCGCUGUUUGCGAUAUACUGCAAGCGGCCAAGCGAAAGCGUUAAGUAUUCCACCUGGGGAGUACGCCGGCAACGGUGAAACUCAAAGGAAUUGACGGGGGCCCGCACAAGCGGAGGAACAUGUGGUUUAAUUCGAUGAUACGCGAGGAACCUUACCCGGGCUUAAAUUGCAGAUGAAUUACGGUGAAAGCCGUAAGCCGCAAGGCAUCUGUGAAGGUGCUGCAUGGUUGUCGUCAGCUCGUGCCGUGAGGUGUCGGCUUAAGUGCCAUAACGAGCGCAACCCUUGUUGUCAGUUACUAGCAGGUUUCGCUGAGGACUCUGACAAGACUGCCAUCGUAAGAUGUGAGGAAGGUGGGGAUGACGUCAAAUCAGCACGGCCCUUACGUCCGGGGCUACACACGUGUUACAAUGGGGGGUACAGAGGGCCGCUACCACGCGAGUGGAUGCCAAUCCCAAAAACCUCUCUCAGUUCGGACUGGAGUCUGCAACCCGACUCCACGAAGCUGGAUUCGCUAGUAAUCGCGCAUCAGCCACGGCGCGGUGAAUACGUUCCCGGGCCUUGUACACACCGCCCGUCAAGCCAUGGGAGCCGGGGGUACCUGAAGUGCGUAACCGCGAGGAGCGCCCUAGGGUAAAACUGGUGACUGGGGCU